UAUUACAGCCGACAUUCUUCCCUUCUCCCAUUACCGGCGUCGCACCAGCCUCGAGGUCAUCCUCACCACUGGCGACCACCGUGAUUGUUGGAGUCGGAGGGACCACCGCCACCCGUUACAAUAGUUUCCCCGACCAGUCGAGCCACCUAUUCGGAGCCUCCCGGUAGCCGCCAUCACCAUGGGAACCCAUCCUCAUCAGCCGCCGGUGCAGCAGCGAGUCCGACAGCUCGGUUCCACCACCGCUUUAUCGUCGUCAUCAAGCGUCCUUGUCGCUGACAACAUUGAAGAGUGACGAGGAGUAGAGGCCAGCCUCCAGGCGCUGCUACUUCACCUUUUCCGCCUUGCUGUUGUCGCUACUGUCACUCCGGCGUGAAGGGAGGCUGAGAUCGGAGCUGGAUGUUACAAAGAUUCUUUCUCUUUCCCUUAUGCGUGAAGCCAGCAGCAACCAGCUAGCUCGCUGCUCCCAUGUACCGGUCGAUCUGCAAAGCCUUCUCCGCCUCCUUCCACCGCUGUUGCCUCCGUCAUGUGCGCACUGCCGCUGCCAAACGCCACCAAGAGAGGGAGGUGCUCCUGUUCCGAGCAAGACUUAUGUGUGGAUUCGGGAAUCUGUCAUCCAGCAGCUAGGGUUUUGUCAUCAGGACUUCAGCAGUGAGAGGUGAAUUUCCUUCCAGUAGGAACGGGUCUACGGCCACAAUGCCGGCCCGUUUAGAUAGCAGUAGUUCCGGACUGCGGUCCGAUGUCGGGGUGGUCCCGAGAAGUAUUUUAGUAUGCUUGAUGUCUUUGUAAUUCAGGCAUGUCUAUGUGUUAUGUGUUCCAGACUGCGGUCCGAUGCAGUAUGCAUUAUAUGUGUUAUUGUUAUACGUUAUGAUUAUGAUAUGCUAUGUUCAGUCAGUUCCAGACUUCGGUCCGAUGCACUGGGUAAUGCCCUAGUUAGUUCCGGACUUCGGUGUAACAUACACGUUCAGUUAUCGUGUAUUGUAAAGUAUAAAAGUGAAUAAUAUUACGAAAUAUUAUGUGAA